UUUGGCGUCCAGCAAGGCUUUCGACCUUCCCAGAGCCAAUGGAUUCCUGCGCGCAGAUCCCCUGACCUGGGGUCCAUGACGUCACCACCUGCAGUAACUGGACCAGCACACAGUGGCCCCAGCAGCAUUCUUGGACAGUGGAUGGUCAUCAUGGCUUCAGGGAGCGAGUGUCUUCUUCAUCCCAGUGAGGGAGUCACUCUGUGAAACAGUGGAUUCAGAGUGGCUGUGUGAGGAGGCACAUCAGGAGCCUUCUAGGACGCCAUCUUGGACGGACGUCAGGAUCACGCUGUCUCUCCAGCGCCUCCCUGAAAGCUCAUCAGCAGCAGCAACAACAGCAGCAGCAACAGCAGCAGCAACAGCAGCAAAGUCUUGGUCUUCAGAAGUCUUUCAUGUGUUGUGCAUUUUAAAUAUUAUCCUAUUGUGCUGAGCAAAACAAAGCACUGAAGUGGCGUUUGUCUCUUCAGCAGAGACUCAGCCUAGCCAGCUGCCCCCACACGGAAAGGUCUGUAAAUGGUAAUUUUCUCAACAGGGAGCUCUUGGGGUAAAGCAUUCUCACUCAGAGUUACGGGAAGGUGAAUAAUAAUUAAGGUCUGGGGAGAAGAUUUAGAAUUACAGUAGUACAUGGAGGAGAGGGGAGAAUUAGUAAAUGAUAUGCUUAUUUAAUAACAUGAAAGAUUUUCUUUAAGAAUUUGUUACCUAGGAUACCGUUAAAGAAAAAAUUAUUCAGUGACACUAGCGAUAGAUGGCAGGCAAACUUGACUUAGGCCCAUUCUGAUAACCAUAGGUCAUACGUUGAUGGAGUUUUAUGGGAAAGGAGGGGGGAUUGGUUUUUGCUAUGAAUACAGCAUGGACAAGUGGGAAUUAAUCGCCAAGGUUCAGGGUGGGGGCCAGAGGAUGGAAAAUUACUGAGAGGAAUUCUGGUUAAACCUACCUAACAGGAUUCUUGAUGAAGAAAGAGCAGGUGAUCAGACAUUAUCUGGGUGAUGCUGGAAGUUGAGGAACCAAAUAUUAAGGGUGAUCACAAGGGUGGGUUGGGGAACGGGGCUUGUGAUUAAACUGACUUGGCAGG